UGUAUUUAACCUGAUGUUAAACUACCAAACUUUUCCAAAGUGGUCCCACUCUGCUUUCCCCUCAACAGUGCGUAAGAGUUCUAGUUGCUCCGCAUCCCAAUUUCUUGGGAUGGUGGUCAGUGCUCUAGGUAAUGGUUCAUUUAAAAAAUACCAUUAAGUUUGACAAGUUUUGCAGCAUGUUCUUUCUGACUGGCAGGAGAACCCACUUCAUUUCUCCUGGUCUCCGCACAGAAUUCUAUCCAAGUUUAUGGAAAAAUCAGGGGCAACUUAUUCAUUAGACUUUCUAGUCCCUUCCUACCUAACACCUUCCUCCAUUCCCGUGAUACUUAGGAGCAAAUUAGUAAGUGAUGGGAACAGAAGAUGGGGCUUGGAGAGUCUCAUGGAAGGUCAUGGGGAGAGAGCAGCUUCCCACUCCUACUUCAGCAUCCUAUACCAAGCGAGUGAACUUCCGUGACAUAGUGGCUACCCUGUGUGCUGCAGUGUGCAAGUGCAGGGCUACAUUUUGGGGGCAUCAACUCAGUCCUUGUAAUGACUCCACGAGGCAGGUGAUGCUACUACAGAAGAUGACGAAACAAGUGCAGAGGGUUUGUAGUUACAGCUGGUGAAGCCUCAACUUGGGAGGCUUGGCCACAGAUUUCUCCAGCUUCAGAACCCAAACUCUUAACAUCUGCCCUACACUACUGUCUGGAAGUGCAUCUCCCAAAGAUGUCAAAUAAUUGGCCAAAAAAAGCGGGGGAGAGACAGAGAGACAGAAAGAGUUGGGAGGAGAGAAAAGAUAGGGGUUCUUAAAGGAAUUCUGUGUCUUUGAAUUCCUUUCUUCAGCUCUAAGUUUCUAGCAAGCACCUUGAAGAAAAAGAAGCAUUGGCCCAGCAGUUAGACAAUGCGGGUUCUAAUCCCGGUUUCUCACUAAAUUAUAGUUUUUCUUAUAUGUCCCUUGGUUUUCUCAUCUGGAUAUCAGCAGGUUGGAUGCAGAGAGCUCUGUGGUCCCUUCUGACUUCCUGGAAGUCAGCUAUAGGAGAGCCACACAUAGGCAUCCUCACUGGGCUGCCUAGAACACCAAGCCUUCUAGUCCCAGGGCUGGCAGUGGCCUCAAAACAGACUUCUGGAAAACAUUCCAGUUCUUUCAGCCACCUUGCUCCAUACCCCCUGUGUCCUCAAGGUCAUUCCGAUGGAAUCUGGAGUGGAUCACCACCGCAUUUUCCUGCCCAGGAUCUAUUCCCUAUUCCUCUGGUAUUAGCAGCACAGCCUUCCCUUGAGGAACCAUCCUUUCUCCAUCCCCAGUCCUUAAGAGUCAGGCUCCAGGGACAGGCACAUGAGAAGCUGGGGAUAUAGCCUAUUUCCCAUCCCCACCCACCUUGAUCCCAGUGGCUGACUGGAGACUGGGCAUAGGAUCCAAAGCAGGCUCAAUUCCAAGACUUUGGCUGGAGAUACUGGUGGCCAUGUUUCCUCCUUAUGAGAAGUCUGUUAGGAUGAAGCAACACAGAGAGAAUCAAAGCUGGGAGCUAAAGACAGGGGAAUUGCCGAGAAUACUACCUGACCUCUAGAUCCAGCUGUGCCUGAAGCAUGUGCCUGGACCUUUCAGUUACCUGAGCAAAUAAAUCCACCCUCAUUUUUUUUGUUGUUGUUGUUUAAAUAAGUCUGAGAUGAGUUAGAUUAGGGUUCAGUAAUUAUGUGGGGUUUUUUUGGAGAUUUCUGCUUUUCUCAUCCAUAUAUGCCCCUUUCUAGGAGUUCCAGAAUCUUUGUUUUUUGUUUUGUUUUUUUAAUUUGAGGAGGAGGAGGAGGAGAGUAGUAGUAAGUAGUCGUCGUCUUGUCUUUGUCAAUUCCAAAAGCCCCAUGAAAGACAUGGUCUAAUGCAGUGUUGGGAAACACACAGCACUGUUGCCACUACCCCUGCCCCAUACUUAUCACAAACAUCACUCAUUUAUCAGAAUUCUUCUCAGUGCAGAAUUCUUGGCAGCCAAUGCCAAUCACUGGAGUUGGCUCCAAGAUGAAGUCUAUUUUCCAACAAAGCUGAAGAGACCUGCAUCACUGCACUGUGUGUGAUGCCAAUCAGAGGACUAGAGAUGGUCUGAAUCAAAGGAUUAACUGCCAUGGCCUGUCUGGAGGACACCAGUUGAUCACAAAGACAGAUGCACUUUGACAUACUGGGAAAAUCAAUAGUGCCAAUUGUUAGCCACUGCCAGGGUCGGCCCCUGAGGAGGGGUCUCUCUCGGCAGUGGUAGCUGAGAAAGGGAAGCAUGGAGCUCAGCUGGCGGGCUCCUGGAGGAGAAGCAUGGGCAGAAAGCAUCUUGACCCAAAUGGCCAGGCAGCCUCACAUGACCCCUCGGGGGCCUCAGCCCUGGCCCUACACCCAAUGGAAACACCUGCCACAGCAUGAUGGUGAGCCCGUCUACAUGCCCACUGGCAACUCACGCCUCCUGGGGAUGCCAACUUUGAGCAGACCACGUUUUCUUGGGCAUAAGCCUCCAACAAAAAGUUCUAAGUUGGUGCCUUUCUAAUUCUGAAGCUGACGGAUGCUUUUCUCACUCUCACACAGCUCAAAAUCAACCUGACAUUUCUAAAAUUACAUUUUGAAGGCAAGGAAUCUAUAAAGUGCACCAAAGCCCAUGCCAGCUGGGAGAAAAAGAAAAGAGGAAAGAGAAAUGUUUCUGGCUCCCUCCCUUACAUUUGAAUAUUCUUUAUAUAUUGGCUGGGGCAGCUCGAGAAGGGAAGGGGCACUUGCAGACCACCUAAAACUGCAGGAAAGUUUUCAAGGAGCAGGUGCUUUCUCAAUUUCCCUGAGGGUUCCAGUGCAAUUGUGGUUCAGACUGGCCUGGAGACAAGGAAUGAAAAUGAGGGAGAAGUGAGACAGGGCGUGAAGGGGGUGGGGCACCUUUGUCUUCUUCACGCCAGAGGCAGUCCUUCCACAGGCGGCUGGCGAGGGGCCUCGAGGUGGGCCCCCAAGGAAGCCCCCUGGCUGGGCGGCACACAGGCCGCUUAAAAGAGAAUAAGCCAGCAGCUGCUUCUCCUUAAACUAGAGAGGUGGCCGAGGGGGCUUUGUGCGAGCCAGGAUCAAAACACGCCUAUCAAGAGGGAUCAAGGGCCUGGCCAAGUGGAUUGCAGAUGGGAAUGGGAAUUGAAUCUUUUUUUUUUUUUUUUUAACAAAAAUGUAAAGAAAAUUCAGAGAGAAAAUGCCUCCAUGUGCAAUUCUGUCCUUUCACUUGUAGCGAAGCCUGUUCAACUACCACAAUCAUCCUCUGCCCUUCACCCACAGAUCAACUUUAAAAUGCAACUAAAAUGAUCCAUUCAACUGAGAAGAACCCCACACCCCUUCACCCCCACCCAGUACCCAGCAAGCUAGUUCCCUGAGCCUCCAGCCUGGAUGGAGCAAGUCUACCCUCCUACUUCUCUGCUUCGUCUCCUUACUGCGGUUGCUGUGGGGCUCUCACGGCUGCAAACACACGUGACCCAGGAAGAAACGAGUCCUUAAUCUACGUUCCACACAGGGCAGCUCCACUCAGGAAUCAUUAAUCCCGUGCUCACAAGGUCUCUUCUUGAGCAGUGGAGGAGGAGGAGGAGGAGGAUGCCUUCCAGUCCCCCAGGGCCAUCUUGCAGAGGACAGUGGCUACUGCUGGACCAGGUCCUUCCCUGAGGGCACACUGCAGAGCCAAGAAGCUGCACUCCUGUGUUGGGGGAAGUGGCCAAAAGAGACCCUUCCAAAGCCAGAGACUGAGGCUACAAGAAUGCAGCAGAGGCCAGCUGGGCAGAGAGGACCAAUUCCAGGAUAAUCAUCAACGCUACUCCUCUCAGGGCCACUGGCUCACUGACAGGGGUGUGUGGCCUCUCAGCAUACCACAGGUGACACAGGGAGGGGAGGAGAGGUGCCAGCCCUGGGGACUCAACACCCAUGAAGUGUCUGAACCACUUACAUGCCCACAUGCAAAACUUGUUCCUAUCUCUCCCCAAGCCAACAAAAGUCCAUGCCUUCCUCUCCUGCACUGUAUGUGGGAUGCAUGGGAUCUCAUCAGUAGUUUCAUGCAGUUGGGGCUCGUCUUUGUUCUCCUCAUCUGUCCCUUUCCAGCCUCAACGUCCAUGGUACCUCCCCACUGAGUCCCCACAACAGACUCUCUUAACGUGCUUUUGCAUGUCAAAUAUCUCUGCCAUUUAAUUAAAAAAACAAAAAACAAAAAACAAAAACAGUUAAUAUCACAAAGGACUCCAGAAAUACAUGCUUUUGAAUUCCAGCCACAGAGAAGACAAGAGGAGACACUGGCAUCUGCAGAUAUGGCUGCUUUCCAUAAGAAAGGUUCGUGCAGUGAGACCAGCCCAGCUCCUCAGCCCAUGUGAGAACACAUACCCCACCACACAAGGGCUGAGGGACAGUGUCUUUGGUUGGCUGGGGCUUCAUCCAGAGCUCAUUGGAAGGUGGCGUGGCAAGAAGGGGAAGUCUUCCUGCAGCCCCCUUACGAGGGCGACAAAGGCAGGGAGUACAUGAGGAGGCAUUUAAGCUUUGCUAGCCUCCUGCCGCCUCUUAGGCUACAGGACUCGUUACUGCAACCUAAUACAGAAUAGGUUGAUGAUUUGAACUUGGAUCUCACAGUAGCCCAGUGACACAUCAGCAGCCAUAAUGCGGACGUCAGCAGGAGAGUGGCCAGCUGGAAAAUUGCUCCUAGACAAUCGUGUAUUGUUAGAUCCACAUAGAGAAUACAUUCAAACCCUUUAUACCAAAUAAGAGUAAAUAAUUAUACCAAUAUAAACAGGGCCUCUGACCCUUUCAUUUUAUUAAAAUGGCACGUAAAUAUGAAAACAGCAUACUGAUCACUUCAUACGUCUGCGUGUCCCCAGGUGUGUGGCCGAGCAGUGGCACGAGGGCUCCCUCCGAGAGGCUGCAGAAUCAUGCAUUGAGCAAUUCAUGUUCUUUAUCGGUUUUCCCAACAGCAUCAGGAUUUGACAGUGGGUCGAGGUCAGCAAAGAGGCUGAACCAGGCAGUCAGGUCCGAGGAGGCAGCCUUGGCAGGUUCUGGGGAGAGAACAGGCAACAUGAAUACACGUACCUUCCAAAGGCCCACCUCUGCCAUGCUGCAUACAGGUGGGUCCAGGCUCGUCUGGAAAAGGGAGGAUACUACUCAGACGAAUCCUAUUACAUUCUGUCUCUAAAACUAGCUAGGGGAUUCCACAUCUCCCUGUUGGCUAUCGGAGAAACAUUUCUAAACCAUGGCCUGAAGCUCAGUGAAGAACAAGCCCAGUGUUAAUCCACACCUGCACCCCCAUCCCAGCGGAUGGCACGGCCCAACAAGUUGCCUAAAACCUCAGAUGGUGCUGCUUCAACGCAAGUAGGAAAUAUCACUGUGAUUUCAGAAAUCGAAUGAAUGGCUGAGGAUGCAUGGUGCCUUCCAGUGUCCACUGGAGGAAUCUUUUCGAAUCUGCUGGGUCAAGGGAAUUAUGAUGGUCACUCUUUUCAGGCUUUAGGGCAUCAGGCUGAGAGGAGGGUUUCUCCUUUCUCAGGGUCACUGCCCUCAUCCACCAUCUCCUGUUAGAGGGAGGAGGCCUUUGACAUGCCUCCCUUCCUCCCCCCUCACACCCCUCCCACUUCACCAUCUAUGGAUGCUCCCUUCAGCUGUUCUUUAACUGAACCACCCGCCCUAACUUCCCGAAUGCCACAAUUACAGAGCCAAAUUAUUUUCCAGAUGAGAGUAUUUUCAAAAGAGUGCCUCAUGCAAGUGAUUUCUACACAAGUUGGGGCCUCUUUAUAUAAAUCAUUCCACAUGAGGAUCAAAGUUCAUUGGCUUGGACGACCCAGGCUUUUUUCCCCUUCCCCAACAGGUGGGGGUAUCAAAAGCACGAAGAAAACGUCUGACAGGUUAUCCUUCUAGCUGAGAGCAACAAGGAAUGUGCUUGCCAUCUGGCUGAAAGAGUCUCGGAAAAUACUGGUGGGACAGGCUGCUACAAGGUUAUGCCAGAGGAACAGGACAGUGGUUAUGGGCUUAUCCUACAGCAACAAGGCCUUUGGUCUUUUCACGAAAAUGGCACUGAAAUGUUAAGAUAAGGUGCCAAUCAUGGUAUAGUUCUGAUUCCUGUCUUUUGUUUUUCCCCAUAAUCUCUCAUAGGUAUAUUACUUUAUCAUGAGAUAACACAUCCGUUACAGAGAUAAAAUGACUACAAGCAAUGCUCACUGGCAAGAGGCAAGUUAUUGUGUAACAUUAAUCGAUCUCCAUGUACAAUCAACCUGCAGAACACUUGGCUUAGUUUGAUACGAUAAACUGAGACCCAAGAGAUCUCAGUAUAGGUUGGUUGGGGAGUGGAGUGGGGAAUAAUUUUUAAAAAGGGAGUAACCAACUCAACGUUUAGUCAUGUAGGAGUCCACACAGCAAACCGUAUGGGGCAAGACUGAUUUAAAGAGGAUUAGCCAUCUCGAUUCUUGAUAGGGAAUAUCAAGAUCUCUUAAAGAGAUCUCCAGCAAAAAUACACUACAUCACUACAUCCACUUCCUCUUUUCCUCCUAACCUCCCAAAGGUGUAGGGCGGCCUCAGAGGGUAGCUGUGGCCUUGCUAGGAGGAGUCAGGUGACUGUACUUUGGUGCAGCCCUCACCUUCCCUAGACCUCUACUGCCAGAGUUUGGGAAACCAGGUGCAACUGUUUGCACAAUACCUACAAGAACAUCCUGGGAAUGCUUCUGGAUGAUAAAGACACUCCCUGCAACUUCCUGUGGUUAACACGGAAAGUGGGUGAUGACCAAAGGAAGAGAGAGACAGCUGCAAAUACAGAGAUCUUCAGUCAAGCACAGGUUCUCUUUGGGGACCUAUCUCAGAAAAGAACAGUCCCACGAGCUUGAAAGGCCCUCCUCUGACAGCUAAGUAAACCUGGCUCUUUGUUAGGUGGAGGCAAUGGUAGUUUCAGUAAAAGACAGCAAACUUCACUGGCCUUUCCUACCUUGCUGGAACCAUUCAACCUUGGGCAGCACACAAUCACAUGGGGAGAGGUUAUUUGGUUCCUCCUCCUUUGGUUUAAUAAGGGGAAUUAUUAGUUGGGACACUGGGCCAGAAUAAAAGAACAUAAUUCCUAGGAUCAUGCAAAACUCUCCACCCUUGUAGCCCAUGCUUUGUACCCUAGGUGCUCAAAUAGAAAUUAGUAAAGAAAAGACAGAAAAUAGUGUUAGGCUAGUUGAAAGGAAGGCAAUUGUCAUUUCCAGGGAAUAAAACACUAUAUUACCUUUCAUUGCUGGGCUGUUGUCAUUUGGACUGCUUGCCUGUGGUGCUGGCCAUGGAGUAGGAGGAGGAUUGACAUUGUUCUCUGACCAGCCUAAUAUUCAAAACCAGAGGUUGUUAGGUCGAGGGAAGAACAGGCACACUGCCCUACCAGGCACUGGGCACACACACGGUCUCACCCAUAGUGGCCUCCAAAGAAAGGGAAAAGGGUGACAAGACCCUUCUGCCAUGUUCUUCAUACCUGGGGUAUAUUUUAUGGGACAGUAGGUAUGUGUGUGUGUGUGUGUAUAUAUAUAUAUAUACACAUAUAUAUAUAUAUGUAUAUAUAUAUAUAAUCAUACCUAAUUCAUAAGUAUGGAAAAUUAGGGAAAAAAUUGAUUUUGAAAAAAAAAUUGUGAAAUUGUUAACGUUGAAACAUUUUUUUUUUUUUUUAGCUCUAUGCCCACUUUUCUUCUCAAGUAACAUCAUUUCAUGGUCACACCAAAGAUUAUCCAUAGCAUUCCAAGGAAAUCAAGUGCCUUGUUUUUCUGUCAUAAAUGGAGAAAGCUUAAAAAAAAUGAACAAUAGUAAAUAUAGUGAUAUAACUAAUAAACUGUGGGUCUUCUCCACUUCA